AGAUCGGGUUCCACGACGGCGACGUUGUGGGGCCUUUUCUUUUGC
rnacentral:antisense_RNA from 6 species